AGGAGGAGGAGGAGGAGGAGGGGAUCCUGCAUCUGCUGCCAUCAGUCUGCGAGGAACAGAGGGCUAGCAGACAAAGCACAAUUUCUUUCCUCAUUUAAAAGCCCAUCCUGCGCUUUUCCUCCUUAUUUCCCACACCUGGUUGAGGGGAGAGAUUGUGGGUUCUCCAUCCGUGGACCUUCAGAACACGCCUGGCCAGACCCCUGGUGGCCUCCUGGACUGGAUAAUCUCAAGAUGUCCCUUCCAACCCCAAUGAUUCUGUGACUUUCCUACCUCUACUCUUACAAAAAUCAUCAUAAUAGAAGCUUAUUUGAAUAUUUAAUUUACUUUCCCUUCUUUGUUUAUAUUUGUGGCAUUUAUCACCCUUGAAUCUUUAGGAUAAACAAGAAUGUUAAUUGUUUGUUGCUGGUUUAUGGUUAAUUAUAAUUUACCACAUUGAUUAACUCGAAAUGUGGCUGCGAAGACAUGAAUGGGAGUGUGUAAAUCCGCAUCCGAAAAUGGGGAAUUGUGUGAAACAAAGGCUUGGAGGAAGAAAUGAGCCAGGUAACAUAUCCAGGCCACGUUCUGGGCAGAGUUUGGUCAAAAUCCAUGCUUGAAAUUCAAGGUUCUUUCCUGAGGAGAGCCCUGGCUGAGCUGUGGAAUGAUGAAUGAUGAAAUAAAGUGAUGAAGAUUUUAGACAAUGGAGAUAGAAAAUUGUUGCCUCCAAAUCUGAAUGGGCUUUUCCAGAUGUUUAAUAUCUCUUGUCCCAAAAGCAACUGUAUAAAAAAUACUUUACAUGUUACAGCAACUGCGAUAUAUUCCUGCAGAAUUUAGUUAAUUGUCCCUGAAAUCAAACUGCAGGAUUGUAAAUGUCUUUGUUUUAUGGGAAAAAAAAAACCCUAAAAAUUUAUUUAUAAAGCACA